CACGUAGGGUGCGAGCGUUGUCCGGAAUUAUUGGGCGUAAAGAGCUCGUAGGCGGUGUGUCGCGUCGGCCGUGAAAACCUGCAGCUUAACUGUGGGCGUGCGGUCGAUACGGGCAUCACUGGAGUUCGGCAGGGGAGACUGGAAUUCCUGGUGUAGCGGUGAAAUGCGCAGAUAUCAGGAAGAACACCCGUGGCUAAGGCGGUUCUCUAGUACGGUACUGACGCUGAGACGCGAAAGCGUGGGGAGCGAACAGG
rnacentral:rRNA from 1 species